ensembl:snRNA U6 U6 spliceosomal RNA
GUGCUAGCUUCGGCAGAACAUACACUAAAAUUGGAACAAUCCAGUGAGUAACAUGGCCUCUGUGCAAGGGUCACAGGCACACUCAUGAGGCAUUCCAUAUUUUA